GCUGCAAGCGCGGCGGUCCCAGGCGUCGAUGCGACGGGUGGCGAGGAGGUGGCAGGCGGCGACGCAUCAGUCCUAGGUGGCGGUGCGGGGCUCCCAGGCAGCGGUGCGUUGGCAGCAGGCGUCCGCGCGGUGGUCCCAGACGUUGACGCGACGGGCGGCGAGGUGGUGGCUGCCGGCGGCAGCGUGUCGGCCGCAGGCGCGGCAGUCCCAGGCGAUGGCGCAUCGGCAGUAGGCGUCUGCACGACGGCAUCGACGCAUUGGGGGAGGUUGGCCGGCGAUGGCGAACCUGCUCUUCUUCUGGUGCGGCGCGGCGGCCGCCGCCGUGCCGGGCCACUUUGCGAGCACGCGGCGGCCGCUGCCGGCGCCGCGUACGACGACGUCGUGGGCGUGUAUCGUGGGUUCAUGCGGUCGCGGACGUGCGCGUUCCUCGUCAUCCACCGCGCCCCGCUCGAGCCGCGCGUCCGCUGCCCCUACUGCGGCGCCCGUGUCUGGAGCAUGACCACCGUCGGGCUCACCCGCCUCUCCUCCUCUUCCUCCAGCAAUGGCGAGCGAAGCGCCGACUCUGACUCCAACCACAGCAACGACGAGACAUUCGCCACCGCCGAUGUGAGCCUCCCACUUCCUCUGGCUGGCCGCGUUUGGUGGGGCGGAAGUGUUACUCCGACAACCGUGGGUGGCGGCGGAGCGGCUAGGAUCACACAGAGCCCGAAAGCUAACUGUGCGGUGUGCUGUGGAGGUCGAGGGAAUAGUGAAGCUUCGACCACUAUACGCAUCGAGGUGUGGGGUGCUAGGAGCAGCACUUCGACCUUAGGUUUGGUUUUGCUGGGCUUUACAACCAACGGUUCGACGUCGGGGAUAGUAAAUCGCGAACGUCCCUAUGGAAGGCGUAAAGUUCUAACCGGCGGCUUUUUAGUGGCUAAAGGGUAA
rnacentral:lncRNA from 1 species